rnacentral:rRNA from 1 species
AUACGGAGGGUGCAAGCGUUAAUCGGAAUUACUGGGCGUAAAGCGCGCGUAGGCGGCUUGAUAAGUCGGAUGUGAAAUCCCUGGGCUCAACCUAGGAACUGCAUCCGAUACUGUCAAGCUAGAGUUUUAGAGAGGUAAGUGGAAUUUCCGGUGUAGCGGUGAGAUGCAUAGAGAUCGGAAGGAACACCAGUGGCGAAGGCGACUUACUGGCCAAAAACUGACGCUGAGGUGCGAAAGCGUGGGUAGCGAACAGGAUUAGAAACCCUAGUAGUCC